AGAGAGGGGAGCCUUCUCGGACCUGGUCAUAGAAAAAGUGCCAGGGAUGGAGCACAGGCCUCAGACAUGAUGAAUCCCUAGCCCACGGCAUCAGGUGCAGAACUGAAAUUGGACUUCUUCAGCCUGGCUCAAAUGUAUCCACACUUAAAACACCACCACCCUGCUUCUCCAUGACAUGGAAACCAAGGCUUGCUGAAAUUAAGGUGCUUUUCCAAGGUCGCAGCAAAGCAGAAAGAACCAGGCCUGGGACUGCCCAGCCGGGGUUCCUGCCCGCCACCCAUGCCCUCCUGGAUCCUUCUUUGCACCCUCUACUUGGGAGUUA